rnacentral:rRNA from 1 species
AGUGGCGGACGGGUGAGUAACGCGUGAGAAUCUGCCUUGGGGUCGGGGACAACCACUGGAAACGGUGGCUAAUACCGGAUAAGCCGAUUGGUGAAAGAUUUAUUGCCCGAAGAGGAGCUCGCGUCUGAUUAGCUAGUUGGUGAGGUAAGAGCUCACCAAGGCAGCGAUCAGUAGCUGGUCUGAGAGGACGAUCAGCCACACUGGGACUGAGACACGGCCCAGACUCCUACGGGAGGCAGCAGUGGGGAAUUUUCCGCAAUGGGCGAAAACCUGACGGAGCAAGACCGCGUGAGGGAGGAAGACUCUUGGGUUGUAAACCUCUUUUCUCAGGGAAGAAGCUCUGACGGUACCUGAGGAAUCAGCCUCGGCUAACUCCGUGCCAGCAGCCGCGGUAAUACGGAGGAGGCAAGCGUUAUCCGGAAUUAUUGGGCGUAAAGCGUCCGCAGGUGGCGAUUCAAGUCUGCUGUCAAAGCACGGGGCUUAACUCCGUAAAGGCAGUGGAAACUGAAUAGCUAGAGUGCCGUAGGGGUAGAGGGAAUUCCCGGUGUAGCGGUGAAAUGCGUAGAGAUCGGGAAGAACAUCGGUGGCGAAAGCGCUCUACUGGACGGCAACUGACACUCAGGGACGAAAGCUAGGGGAGCGAAUGGGAUUAGAUACCCC